UACGGAGGGUGCAAGCGUUGCUCGGAAUUAUUGGGCGUAAAGCGUAUGUAGGCGGUCUUCUAAGUCUGAUGUGAAAUCCCGGGGCUUAACUCCGGAACUGCAUUGGAUACUGGAAGGCUAGAGAAUGGUAGAGGAUGGUGGAAUUCCUGGUGUAGGGGUGAAAUCCGUAGAUAUCAGGAGGAACAUCAGUGGCGAAGGCGGCCAUCUGGACCAUGUCUGACGCUGAGAUACGAAAGCGUGGGGAGCAAACAGG
rnacentral:rRNA from 1 species